UACGUAGGGAGCAAGCGUUGUCCGGAAUCAUUGGGCGUAAAGCGCGCGUAGGCGGCCCUGUAAGUCCGCUGUGAAAGUCAAAGGCUCAACCUUUGAAAGCCGGUGGAUACUGCAGGGCUAGAGUCCGGAAGAGGCGAGUGGAAUUCCGUGGUGUAGCGGUGGAAUGCGCAGAGUAUCAGGAGGAACACCAAUAGCGAAGGCAGCUCGCUGGGACGGUACUGACGCUAAGGCGCGAA
rnacentral:rRNA from 1 species